AAGUCGUAACAAGGUUUCCGUAGGUGAACCUGCGGAAGGAUCAUUACAAAAAAGGCCCAAAUAGCAUGCUUGUGCACAUCAACUGCUAUUUGAACCUUUAUUCUACCUUGAUUUUUUGCGUACUCCUGUUUCCUUGGUGGGCUUGCCUGCCAGCUGGACAAAUCUAUAACCCUUUUAAUGUUUAAUCAGCGUCUGAGUAAAUUUAAUAAUUACAACUUUCAACAACGGAUCUCUUGGUUCUG
rnacentral:misc_RNA from 1 species